AUGUCACACAUUAAAGCUGCCAUCCCUGCAAACCUCGAUCCAUACCAGUUUGCAUACAGGGCAAACAGGUCGACAGAGGAUGCCAUAAUAACAGCUCUUCACACAGCCCUCACACACCUGGACUGUAGUAACACCUAUGUGAGAAUGCUGUUUGUGGACUUCAGCUCUGCCUUCAAUACAGUUCAACCCCACAAACUGGUUAAUAAACUAAGCAACUUAGGACUCAGCAGCUCACUGUGCAGCUGGAUACUGGACUUCCUGAGCAACAGACCCCAGAACGUAAGAAUGGGAGAGCACACCUCCUCCACCCUCAUUCUGAAUGUGGGUGUCCCACAGGGGUGUGUCCUCAGUCCCCUCUUAUACUCACUUUUCACCCAUGACUGUUCACCAAUCCACACCAGUAACACCAUUAUAAAAUUUGCUGAUGACACCACUGUCAUAGGACUGAUCGACAACAACGAUGAUUCAGCCUACAGAGAGGAGGUUCAGCAUCUGAAGCAAUGGUGUGAUGACAACAACUUGCAUCUGAACACAGCCCAGACCAAGGAGAUGGUAAUCGACUUCAGAAGAACAAAGCGAUCUGAGCACUCUACCCUCUACAUUGAUGGGGAGGAGGUAGAAAGGGUAGAAAGCUUUAAGUUCCUCGGAGUCCACAUCUCGGCCGACCUUACCUGGUCCACAAACAUCUCCCACCAGGUAGGGAAAGCACAACAAAGGCUGUACUUCCUCAGGAAACUACGUCAGGCCCAAUUACCCCAAAGACUGCUAGUAAACUUCUACCGCUCCACCAUUGAGAGCCUUCUGACUUACUGCUGCACACUCUGGUUCAACUGCUGCACCGCGGAGGACAAGAGGAAACUGCAGCGGGUGGUGAGGGCAGCAGAGCGGGCAAUCGGCACUUCACUAACCCCCCUCAGAGACAUCUAUACUGGCAGACUUCAGCAGAAAGCCAGCAUCAUCAUCAAAGACCCCUCGCACCCUGGACACUCACUUUUCCCCCCUUCCCUCUGGUAA
rnacentral:lncRNA from 1 species